UACGGAGGGUGCGAGCGUUGUCCGGAAUCAUUGGGCGUAAAGGGCGCGUAGGCGGCUUCCUAAGUGUGCGGUGAAAGCCCUGGGCUCAACCUAGGAAGUGCAUUCGAAACUGCGAAGCUUGAGUCCUGGAGAGGAAGGCGGAAUUCUCGGUGUAGAGGUGAAAUUCGUAGAUAUCGAGAGGAACACCGGUGGCGAAGGCGGCCUUCUGGACAGUGACUGACGCUGAGACGCGAAAGCGUGGGGAGCAAACAGG
rnacentral:rRNA from 1 species